GCUGUGUAUUGAUACUGAAUUUGGUUUAUGCCAAUCUAGAUUAUCAAAAAGAAACUCCUGCAAGCCUGGGUCAGAUUGACCAUCAGUGCUGGGAGGUGUCGUCCCAUGGGCUGGUGGAAAUGAAGAAACUCAAGGUAGCAGAUGCGGUCAUUGAUCUCUGGGACUUCAUGAUGUUCCUAAAGGAUUCCCCUAAGCCCAAGCACAAUGAACUCUUCAAUGAUUUAGCCCAGAACUUCUGGGAUAUGUAUGUAGACUGUGUGCUCUCAAGAUCCCAUGGAAUGGGCAGAAGACAAUUAAUGUCUCCCAAAUAUUCUUCCACAUACUCACAUAGAACUUUACAAGGGUCCGCUUUCACCAACCCAUUUUAGGCCAAAAGGGGAGAAAAUGAAGAUACCUCAGCAAGGCAACAUCAAAAUGAAGGCGCACAAACGCCCAGCGUACACCGUAGAUGCUUAGACAAAACCACUGGCAUGGUUCUAACUUUUUUUUCUCUGUAUAAAGUACUUAGCCACUGUUAAACUGAAAUACAUCAGCUCCCACAUUGUCACUUUUGCUUCCCUGUCUUGCAAUCUGCCAGGGUUGCCUUUUCCCCACUGCAUGCGGGAAUGCCUUUGCAUUUUGAGCCAACACCUUUGUUCUCUCAGGUAAAUAAGGUGAUGCAGUUCAUCCCUGUCAUCAUCCCUCAACAUCACAAUUGAGAAGAGACUCGUGCAUCAAGUGGUCUGAAAGACAGAGAGACUAGCUUGACUACUGCUCCCAUUACCAGAAACCAUCCAGCAUGGUUCUACAGGAGACAAAGGUGCUUGGCAUCUACCAUGACUGGCUCCAGGAUGUGGAACCAUUGCCCGGAGACCCUGCAGCCUCGGCCCGAGGGGCAGGGGAUUGUGACCCACAGGAACACAGCGGCAGCAGCAAGACAGAUUCCGGGUGGAAAUACCUGUUUUGUCUCUGGCAGGGCCAUGGGAAGCCAUGGGCUGCUCCUCGGUCUCCACAGGAGGGAUUCCCAGGAAGGGGGACGGUCUCCUCCUCCCCCGGCCCUCAGCACCUCUCUCCAUCCCUGGGCCCCAGAGGAGCAGGACGCUGUGUCCUCGGG
rnacentral:lncRNA from 1 species